AUUGAACGCUGGCGGCAUGCCUUACACAUGCAAGUCGAACGGUAACGGGCCUUCGGGUGCCGACGAGUGGCGAACGGGUGAGUAAUACAUCGGAACGUGCCCGAUCGUGGGGGAUAGCGAGGCGAAAGCUUUGCUAAUACCGCAUACGAUCUACGGAUGAAAGCAGGGGACCGCAAGGCCUUGCGCGGACGGAGCGGCCGAUGGCAGAUUAGGUAGUUGGUGGGAUAAAAGCUUACCAAGCCGACGAUCUGUAGCUGGUCUGAGAGGAUGAUCAGCCACACUGGGACUGAGACACGGCCCAGACUCCUACGGGAGGCAGCAGUGGGGAAUUUUGGACAAAGGGCGCAAGCCUGAUCCAGCCAUGCCGCGUGCAGGAUGAAGGCCUUCGGGUUGUAAACUGCUUUUGUACGGAACGAAAAGCCUUCUUUUAAUACAGGAGGGUCAUGACGGUACCGUAAGAAUAAGCACCGGCUAACUACGUG
rnacentral:rRNA from 1 species